CUUGGUGACCUGAUGAUACCCAUUUAUGCAUAGUUCAUCUGAUUUUAUAUGAUGACAACCGACAUCAAUUAGUCUUUCGCUCCCAUCUGACUCAAUCACCGAC
rnacentral:snoRNA from 1 species